UUUUACACUGUAUUUUAUGUGACGUCGGAGCUCCAGUCCGCCCACACUAGUCACCGCUCAACUCCAUCAUAAAUCGUGGAAUUGAGUCGGCUACCUUUUCUGCUGCCUUCAGUCUUUUUCGGCUGGGUAGUUAGCUAGCUGCACAGCUAGGGAACAGUCAAGAUUUGCACAUGGGUGUCCUAGAAGUCUACAUUUUUUUAAAAAGCAAUGUACAUGUCUAAAGAUUACUUUUCAGUAUUGCCGGAUCCGGAGUGUUCUCACUAGUUAGAAAAACCUAAUAUUGUGGCGCUGCCCCUUUUUAUGACGCUGCUAGCAGCCACGAGUGAGUGCUAGCUAGCCAAGCACCACAACACAAGCAUACUAUACAACUACUACUGUUCUUCCAGAGACAAAUGGAUGGGUCUGUGAACUUCUACAGAGACUUGGACCACUACAAGAAUGGCUUUGAGCAUGCUGCAGGAGACCACUGGCUGGGGUGAUGCCCUCUCCCACUACAACAUCCAGAGGUUUUCCACCUGCGACCGGGACCAGGUCAGCAGCCAUGUGAACUGUGCUGAAAGUUACCUGGGAGGCGUCUAGUAGACCAAGCGCUACAGCGCUAACCCCAACUGUGUCUAUAGCCAGAAUAGUCUGCAAAAUUGCAAAUUGAUCACAACUAAGCCCAAAAAAAGAUUGUAUUUGAAAAGAACAAUAAUUUUAUACCUUGAUUACAUUAAGCCACAAUCACAUAAUUAUGUCUCUUUUUUUUUGUGCGAAUACUUGGGAACAGAUUUCGGUAAUUAAACAGAUUUUUUGCUGAAUUCCUUUUUACUAA